GUCGGUGUCGUCACCGUGCAGACCAGCGCCGUGCCGGUCGUCACCGAACUGCCGGGCCGCACGAAUGCCUUCCUCGUGGCACAGGUGCGCGCACGCGUGGACGGCAUCGUCCUGCGCCGCGAGUUUACGGAAGGCAGCGAAGUGAAGGCGGGCCAGCGUCUUUACAAGAUAGA
rnacentral:ncRNA from 1 species